rnacentral:rRNA from 1 species
UCAAGUUAUUAAGGGUGCAGGGCGGAUGCCUUGGCACUAGGAGCCGAUGAAGGACGUGAUAAGCUGCGAUAAGCUUCGGGGAGUUGCACGUAAACUUUGAUCCGAAGAUUUCCGAAUGAGGAAACUCACUUAGAGUAAUGUCUAAGUAUCAUUAAGUGAAUACAUAGCUUAAUGAGGGGAACUCAGGGAACUGAAACAUCUAAGUACCUGAAGGAAGAGAAAGAAAUUCGAUUCCGUAAGUAGCGGCGAGCGAACGCGGAUUAGCCCAAACCAAUAAAGUUUUCUUUAUUGGGGUUGCGGACAUAUCAUAACGAAGAGGUAUCGUAAUUGAAGAGGUUUGGAAAGACCCACCACAGAAGGUAAUAGUCCUGUAUGUUAAACGAGAAGACUUCAGAUAUGAUCCAGAGUACCACGGGACACGUGAAACCCUGUGGGAAGCAGGAGGGACCACCCUCCAAGGCUAAAUACUACCUAGUGACCGAUAGCGUAUAGUACCGUGAGGGAAAGGUGAAAAGAACCCCGGGAGGGGAGUGAAAUAGAACCUGAAACCCUGCACUUACAAGCUGUGGAAGCACAUUUCUUGUGUGACCGCGUACUUUUUGUAGAACGGGCCAACGAGUUACGUUAAGUAGCAAGGUUAAGCACUUAAGGUGCGGAGCCGUAGCGAAAGCGAGUUUUAACUGAGCGUUCAGUUACUUGACGUAGACCCGAAACCGGGCGACCUACCCAUGAGCAGGAUGAAGCGAAAGUAAAAUUUCGUGGAGGUCCGAACCCACGAGCGUUGAAAAGCUCGGGGAUGACUUGUGGGUAGCGGUGAAAUUCCAAUCGAGCCCGGAGAUAGCUGGUUCUCCCCGAAAUAGCUUUAGGGCUAGCCUCAAGGUGAGAGAUACGGAGGUAGAGCACUGAAUGUCCUAGGGGGUAUUGCACCUACCGAAGACUAUCAAACUCCGAAUGCCGUCAUCUUAUACUUGGGAGUCAGACUGUGGGUGAUAAGAUUCAUAGUCGAAAGGGCAACAGCCCAGAUCGUCAGCUAAGGUCCCUAAAUGUAAGUUAAGUGGUAAAGGAUGUGGGAUUGCACAGACAACCAGGAUGUUGGCUUAGAAGCAGCCAUUCAUUCAAAGAGUGCGUAAUAGCUCACUGGUCGAGUGAUCCUGCGCCGAAGAUUUCCGGGGCUAAAACUUACUACCGAAGCUACGGCAUCAGUAAUGAUGGGUAGGGGAGCUUCCCAUACGGGUUGAAGCAUGACCGUAAGGACAUGUGGACAGUAUGGGAGUGAGAAUGUUGGCAUGAGUAGCGAGAUGUGGGUGAGAAUCCCACAGGCCGUAAACCCAAGGUUUCCAGGGGAAGGUUCGUCCGCCCUGGGUUAGUCGGGACCUAAGCUGAGGCCGAAAGGCGUAGGUGAUGGACAACAGGUUGAUAUUCCUGUACUACCGAUAACCGUUUGAGAGAAGGGAUGACACAGUAGGAUAAGCUAAGCACACUGUUGGUUAUGUGUGCCCAAGCAUUGAGGCAGUCAAAGCAGGCAAAUCCGCUUUGAUAAUGCUGGGAUGUGAUGGGGAGCGAAAUUUAGUAGCGAAGUAGCUGAUUUCACACUGUCAAGAAAAGUCUCUAUCGAGGUUAAAGGUACCCGUACCGCAAACCGACACAGGUGGGUGAGGAGAGUAUCCUAAGGCCAGCGAGAGAACUGUUGUUAAGGAACUCGGCAAAAUGACCCCGUAACUUAGGGAUAAGGGGUGCCACCAUCCGGUGGCCGCAGAGAAUAGGCCCAAGCGACUGUUUACCAAAAACAUAGGUUUCUGCUAAGUCGCAAGACGAUGUAUAGGAGCUGACGCCUGCCCGGUGCUGGAAGGUUAAGGGGAUCUGUUAGAGCAAUCGAAGCAGUGAACUUAAGCCCCAGUAAACGGCGGCCGUAACUAUAACGGUCCUAAGGUAGCGAAAUUCCUUGUCGGGUAAGUUCCGACCCGCACGAAAGGCGUAACGAUUUGGGCACUGUCUCAACAACAGACUCGGUGAAAUUGUAAUUCCGGUGAAGAUGCCGGAUACCUGCGACAGGACGGAAAGACCCCAUGGAGCUUUACUGUAGCUUGACAUUGGGUCUUGGUACUACAUGUACAGGAUAGGUGGGAGGCUUUGAAACCAGGACGCCAGUUUUGGCGGAGCCAUCCUUGGGAUACCACCCUUGUAGUACUGGGACUCUAACCAUAGGCCAUGAAUCUGGUCUUGGGACACUGUCAGGUGGGCAGUUUGACUGGGGCGGUCGCCUCCCAAAAGGUAACGGAGGCGCUCAAAGGUUCUCUCAGUACGGUCGGAAAUCGUACGUAGAGUGUAAAGGCAAAAGAGAGCUUGAUUGCAAGACAUACAGGUCGAGCAAGGAUGAAAAUCGGACUUAGUGAUCCGGUGGUUCUGCGUGGAAGGGCCAUCGCUCAACGGAUAAAAGCUACCCUGGGGAUAACAGGCUUAUCUCCCCCAAGAGUCCACAUCGACGGGGAGGUUUGGCACCUCGAUGUCGGCUCAUCACAUCCUGGGGCUGUAGUAGGUCCCAAGGGUUGGGCUGUUCGCCCAUUAAAGUGGUACGCGAGCUGGGUUCAGAACGUCGUGAGACAGUUCGGUCCCUAUCCGUCGCAGGCGUAGGAAAUUUGAGAAGACCUGUCCUUAGUACGAGAGGACCGGGAUGGACGUACCUCUGGUGUACCAGUUGUUCUGCCAAGGGCAUGGCUGGGUAGCUAUGUACGGAAUGGAUAAGCGCUGAAAGCAUCUAAGCGCGAAGCCAACUUCAAGAUAAGAUUUCCCACCGCAAGGGUAAGACCCCAGAAAGACUAUCUGGUUGAUAGGUCGAAGGUGUAAGUGCAGCAAUGUAUUUAGCUUAUCGAUACUAAUAGGUCGAGGACUUGACCAA